rnacentral:rRNA from 1 species
CCUGGCUCAGGACGAACGCUGGCGGCGCGCCUAACACAUGCAAGUCGAACGGUGAAGAGGAGCUUGCUCCUCGGAUCAGUGGCGGACGGGUGAGUAACACGUGAGCAACCUGGCUCUAAGAGGGGGACAACAGUUGGAAACGACUGCUAAUACCGCAUAACGUAUCGGGAUGGCAUCUUCCUGAUACCAAAGAUUUUAUCGCUUAGAGAUGGGCUCGCGUCUGAUUAGAUAGUUGGCGGGGUAACGGCCCACCAAGUCGACGAUCAGUAGCCGGACUGAGAGGUUGAACGGCCACAUUGGGACUGAGACACGGCCCAGACUCCUACGGGAGGCAGCAGUGGGGGAUAUUGGACAAUGGGGGCAACCCUGAUCCAGCGACGCCGCGUGAGGGAAGAAGGUUUUCGGAUUGUAAACCUCUGUUGACGGAGAAAAAAAUGAUGGUAUCCGUUUAGAAAGCCACGGCUAACUACGUGCCAGCAGCCGCGGUAAUACGUAGGUGGCAAGCGUUGUCCGGAAUUACUGGGUGUAAAGGGAGUGUAGGCGGGAUAUCAAGUCAGAAGUGAAAAUUACGGGCUCAACUCGUAACCUGCUUUUGAAACUGACAUUCUUGAGUGAAGUAGAGGCAAGCGGAAUUCCUAGUGUAGCGGUGAAAUGCGUAGAUAUUAGGAGGAACACCAGUGGCGAAGGCGGCUUACUGGACGAUAACUGACGCUGAGGCUCGAAAGCGUGGGGAGCAAACAGGAUUAGAUACCCUGGUAGUCCACGCCGUAAACGAUGAUUACUAGGUGUGGGGGGAUUGACCCCUUCCGUGCCGGAGUAAACACAAUAAGUAAUCCACCUGGGGAGUACGACCGCAAGGUUGAAACUCAAAGGAAUUGACGGGGGCCCGCACAAGCAGUGGAGUAUGUGGUUUAAUUCGACGCAACGCGAAGAACCUUACCA